ACGACGGCCAAAACAAAUUCCUUCAAAUAAAUUAUAGUAAAGAAAACUUGUCGUAUAUUAUAAUUCGUAUGAAUUUAAUACAGUAUAAGAAGCUGAAAACAUUGGCUUUAUGUUUGGGAAGAGUUCUACUGACCGAAUUUUAAGUUGCACUUGUUACGCCUUGAAAUGCAGGCGUUGUAUAAAAGACGUGAAAAUCUGUGAUUUGCCGUUGUAAACAGAACGAUGACCACGUCUGAAACUCCCCUGGGACUUUGAUUAUUUAUUUCUUUUCAUUGACUCAUUGUAUUGGUUGCCGUCGUCGUCGUGUUGCCGUCCUACAUGCUUAAGCUCCCUA